rnacentral:rRNA from 1 species
UACGUAGGGUGCGAGCGUUAAUCGGAAUUACUGGGCGUAAAGCGUGCGCAGGCGGUUUUGUAAGCCAGAUGUGAAAUCCCCGGGCUCAACCUGGGAAUGGCAUUUGGGACUGCAAGGCUGGAGUGCGGCAGAGGAGACUGGAAUUCCUGGUGUAGCAGUGAAAUGCGUAGAUAUCAGGAGGAAUACCGAUGGCGAAGGCAGCCUCCUGGGCCAACACUGACGCUCAUGCACGAAAGCGUGGGGAGCAAACAGG